rnacentral:tRNA from 1 species
GGACACAUAGCUCAGUUGGUUAGAGCGCACGGUUCACAUCCGUGAGGUCGUAGGUUCGACUCCUAUUGUGUCCAC